AGAGUUUGAUCCUGGCUCAGAUUGAACGCUGGCGGCAUGCCUAACACAUGCAAGUCGAACGGCAGCACAGAGGAGCUUGCUCCUUGGGUGGCGAGUGGCGGACGGGUGAGUAAUGCAUCGGGAUCUACCCUGACGUGGGGGAUAACCUCGGGAAACCGGGACUAAUACCGCAUACGUCCUACGGGAGAAAGCGGGGGACCUUUUAGGCCUCGCGCGGCAGGACGAACCGAUGUGCGAUUAGCUAGUUGGCGGGGUAAUGGCCCACCAAGGCGACGAUCGCUAGCUGGUCUGAGAGGAUGAUCAGCCACACUGGGACUGAGACACGGCCCAGACUCCUACGGGAGGCAGCAGUGGGGAAUAUUGGACAAUGGGCGCAAGCCUGAUCCAGCAAUGACGCGUGUGUGUUGAGGGCCU
rnacentral:rRNA from 1 species